GGCUGAUUCUCCUCCUUGCCAAGGUAACACGCAGCAAUGCUCCGGCCAGCCUGCUCACAGGAGGAAUACAGAGCCUUCCAGGCCCUUAUCUCCCUUUGCUGGUACUAAGUGCCAGCCGGCUGGUGAGAGAAAUCUUUGGCGACAGGGCUUACAGCAAGGCUGGCUCUGCAUGGGCUGGCAGCGGAGAUGAAAGGAUCUCCCCUGCUGGUCUUGGUCCACAGCCAUCGAAC